rnacentral:rRNA from 1 species
UACGUAGGUGGCAAGCGUUGUUCGGAGUUAUUGGGCGUAAAGCGCUCGCAGGUGGUUCGAUGCGUCGUGCGUGAAAGACCCCGGCUCAACUGGGGAGGGUCGUGCGAUACGGUCGAACUGGAGGCCAGUAGGGGGAUGCGGAAUUCCGGGUGUAGUGGUGGAAUGCGUAGAGAUCCGGAGGAACACCAGCGGCGAAGGCGGCAUCCUGGACUGGUCCUGACACUCAGGAGCGAAAGCGUGGGGAGCGAUCCGG